GGUUGUAAAGCACUUUCAGCGAGGAAGAACGCCUAGCGGUUAAUACCCGCUAGGAAAGACAUCACUCGCAGAAGAAGCACCGGCUAACUCCGUGCCAGCAGCCGCGGUAAUACGGAGGGUGCAAGCGUUAAUCGGAAUUACUGGGCGUAAAGCGCGCGUAGGUGGCUUGAUAAGCCGGUUGUGAAAGCCCCGGGCUCAACCUGGGAACGGCAUCCGGAACUGUCAAGCUAGAGUGCAGGAGAGGAAGGUAGAAUUCCCGGUGUAGCGGUGAAAUGCGUAGAGAUCGGGAGGAAUACCAGUGGCGAAGGCGGCCUUCUGGACUGACACUGACACUGAGGUGCGAAAGCGUGGGUAGCAAACAGGAUUAGAUACCCUGGUAGUCCACGCCGUAAACGAUGUCGACCAGCCGUUGGGUGCCUAGCGCACUUUGUGGCGAAGUUAACGCGAUAAGUCGACCGCCUGGGGAGUACGGCCGCAAGGUUAAAACUCAAAUGAAUUGACGGGGGCCCGCACAAGCGGUGGAGCAUGUGGUUUAAUUCGAUGCAACGCGAAGAACCUUACCUACUCUUGACAUCCUGCGAAUUUGGUAGAGAUACCUUAGUGCCUUCGGGAACGCAGAGACAGGUGCUGCAUGGCUGUCGUCAGCUCGUGUUGUGAAAUGUUGGGUUAAGUCCCGUAACGAGCGCAACCCUUGUCCUUAUUUGCCAGCGCGUAAUGGCGGGAACUCUAAGGAGACUGCCGGUGACAAACCGGAGGAAGGUGGGGACGACGUCAAGUCAUCAUGGCCCUUACGAGUAGGGCUACACACGUGCUACAAUGGUCGGUACAAAGGGUUGCCAACUCGCGAGAGUGAGCCAAUCCCGAAAAGCCGAUCUCAGUCCGGAUCGGAGUCUGCAACUCGACUCCGUGAAGUCGGAAUCGCUAGUAAUCGUGGAUCAGAAUGCCACGGUGAAUACGUUCCCGGGCCUUGUACACACCGCCCGUCACACCAUGGGAGUGGACUGCACCAGAAGUGGUUAGCCUAACGCAAGAGGGCGAUCA
rnacentral:rRNA from 1 species